CGCACAUUGCGCCCCUUGGCAUUCCGAGGGGCAUGCCUGUUCGAGCGUCAUUAUCACCACUCAAGCUCUGCUUGGUUCUGGAUCGCGCCGGUAGCGGCUGAUCUUAAAUUCAGUGGCGGCCUCUAUAGGUUCUUCGCGUAGUACAUCUCUCGCGUAGACGCUGUAGAUCGUCGACCAAAAACCCUUUCUUUAGGUUGACCUCGGAUCAGGUAGGAAUACCCGCUGAACUUAA
rnacentral:misc_RNA from 1 species